GAAAGGUCCGGGCGUUAUCCGGAUUUAUUGGGUUUAAAGGGAGCGUAGGUGGCAGUGCAAGUCAGAUGUGAAAGGCCGGGGCUCAACCCCGGNGCUGCAUUUGAAACUGCAUAGCUGGAGUACAGGAGAGGCAGGCGGAAUUCCUAGUGUAGCGGUGAAAUGCGUAGAUAUUAGGAGGAACACCAGUGGCGAAGGCGGCCUGCUGGACUGUUACUGACACUGAGGCACGAAAGCGUGGGGAGCNAACAGGAUUAGAUACCCUGGUAGUCCACGCCGAAAACGAUGGAUACUNGGUGUCGGGGCCGUAUNGGCUUCGGUGCCGCAGCAAACGCAGUANGUAUUCCNCCUGGGGAGU
rnacentral:rRNA from 1 species